rnacentral:rRNA from 1 species
GGAUUAGAUACCCUGGUAGUCCUAGCCGUAAACGAUGGGUACUAAGUAGGGGGGCACUCAAGGCCUCCCUGCCGGAGCUAAUGUGUUAAGUACCCCGCCUGGGGAGUAUGGUCGCAAGGCUGAAACUCAAAGGAAUUGACGGGGGCUCACACAAGCGGUGGAGCAUGUUGUUUAAUUCGAUGCAACGCGAAGAACCUUACCUGGGUUUGACAUGCAAGUGGUACCAAACCGAAAGGGGCGGGACCCUUCACGGGGAGCUUGCGCAGGUAUUGCAUGGCUGUCGUCAGCUCGUGUCG